UACGUAGGUGGCAAGCGUUGUCCGGAUUUACUGGGCGUAAAGAGCGCGCAGGCGGUCAGAUAAGUCGAAUGUGAAAGCCCCCGGCUCAACUGGGGAGGGUCAUUCGAUACUGUUCGACUCGAAGGCAGGAGAGGGAAGUGGAAUUCCCGGUGUAGUGGUGAAAUGCGUAGAUAUCGGAAGGAACACCAGUGGCGAAAGCGGCUCCCUGGUCCAGCACCGACGUUCAGGCACGAAAGCGUGGGGAGCAAACAGG
rnacentral:rRNA from 1 species